UACGAAGGGGGCUAGCGUUGCUCGGAAUCACUGGGCGUAAAGCGCACGUAGGCGGCUUUCUAAGUCGGUGGUGAAAUCCUGGAGCUCAACUCCAGAACUGCCUCCGAUACUGGAAAGCUGGAGUCCGGGAGAGGUGAGUGGAACUGCGAGUGUAGAGGUGAAAUUCGUAGAUAUUCGCAAGAACACCAGUGGCGAAGGCGGCUCACUGGCCCGGUACUGACGCUGAGGUGCGAAAGCGUGGGGAGCAAACAGG
rnacentral:rRNA from 1 species